AUCCCAUUCGGAUUGCAGGCUGCAACCCGCCUGUAUGAAGUUGGAAUCGCUAGUAAUCGCGGAUCAGCAUGCCGCGGUGAAUACGUUCCCGGGCCUUGUACACACCGCCCGUCACACCAUGAGAGUCGGGAACACCCGAAGUCCGUAGCCUAACCGCAAGGAGGGCGCGGCCGAAGGUGGGUUCGAUAAUUGGGGUGAAGUCGUAACAAGGUACC
rnacentral:rRNA from 1 species